CGCUUCGGCGGGUGAGUGGCGCACGGCUGAGUAACACGUGGGAACCCGCCCCCCGGUGGGGGAUAACGCGACGAAAGUUGCGCUAAUCCCGCAUACGUCCGCAAGGAGAAAGCGCACCCGCGCGCCGGGGGAGGGGCCUGCGGCCCAUCAUGUCGUUGGUGGGGUAAUGGCCUACCAAGCCGAUGACGGGUAUCUGGUCUGGGAGGAUGACCAGCCAGACUGGGACUGAAACACGGCCCAGACUCCUACGGGAGGCAUUGCAAGGAAUUUUCGGCAAUAGGCGCAAGCCUGACCGAGCAACGCCGCGUGCGGGAUGACGGCCUUCAGGUUGUAAACCGCUUUUCGGGGGGACGACCCUGACGGUACCCCCGGAAUCAGCCCCGGCUAACUCUGUGCCAGCAGCCGCGGUAAGACAGAGGGGGCGAGCGUUGUCCGGAGUCACUGGGCGUAAAGCGCGCGCAGGCUGCAACCUAAUUGUCAUGUGAAAGCCCCCGGCUCAUCCGGGGGAGGCCAUGGCAAACUGGGUCGCUCGAGCUGCGGAGAGGCCCCUCGAAUUGCCGGUGUAGCGGUGAAAUGCGUGAGAUCGCCUGGAAGACCAAGGGGGAAGCCAGGGGGCUGGCCGCUCGCUGACGCUGACGCUCGACAGCGU
rnacentral:rRNA from 1 species